rnacentral:rRNA from 1 species
GAUGAACGCUGGCGGCGUGCCUAAUACAUGCAAGUCGAGCGAACAGACGAGGAGCUUGCUCCUCUGACGUUAGCGGCGGACGGGUGAGUAACACGUGGAUAACCUACCUAUAAGACUGGGAUAACUUCGGGAAACCGGAGCUAAUACCGGAUAAUAUAUUGAACCGCAUGGUUCAAUAGUGAAAGACGGUUUUGCUGUCACUUAUCGAUGGAUCCGCGCCGCAUUAGCUAGUUGGUAAGGUAACGGCUUACCAAGGCAACGAUGCGUAGCCGACCUGAGAGGGUGAUCGGCCACACUGGAACUGAGACACGGUCCAGACUCCUACGGGAGGCAGCAGUAGGGAAUCUUCCGCAAUGGGCGAAAGCCUGACGGAGCAACGCCGCGUGGGUGAUGAAGGUCUUCGGAUCGUAAAACUCUGUUAUUAGGGAAGAACAAAUGUGUAAGUAACUAUGCACGUCUUGACGGUACCUAAUCAGAAAGCCACGGCUAACUACGUG